AUCGCUUCUCGGCCUUUUGGCUAAGAUCAAGUGUAGUGUAGUAACAUUAUCCUUUAACAUUCCCCUUGCAAUGUAAUUCAGGCCCCUUCCACACAGCUGAAUAAAAUCCCACAUUAUCUGCUUUGAACUGGGAUAUAUAGCAGUGUGGAUAACCCAAUUCAAAGCAGAUAUUGUACGAUUUUCUGCCUUGAUAUUCUG